ACAAUAGAGGAGAUCCAGGAGGACGGUAGCAAAUGGCAACACAGGCUGAAGAGAGUGAAGAGAUAUAUGUUGUGGACUUUAAAAUAGGAUACAUAUAUCUCUUCACUCUCUUCAGCCUGUGUUGCCAUUUGCUACCGUCCUCCUGGAUCUCCUCUAUUGCU